UACGUAGGGUGCGAGCGUUGUCCGGAAUUAUUGGGCGUAAAGGGCGCGUAGGCGGUCUGUUGCGUCCGCUGUGAAAACUCGGGGCUUAACCCCGAGCCUGCAGUGGAUACGGGCAGACUAGAGGUAGGUAGGGGAGAAUGGAAUUCCCGGUGUAGCGGUGAAAUGCGCAGAUAUCGGGAGGAACACCGGUGGCGAAGGCGGUUCUCUGGGCCUUACCUGACGCUGAGGAGCGAAAGCGUGGGGAGCGAACAGG
rnacentral:rRNA from 1 species